rnacentral:tRNA from 1 species
CCUUGGUUAGCUCAGUUGGUAGAGCGCUCCACCUGUAAUGGAGAGGUCCCGGGUUCGAUACCCGGACCAGGCG